CACGUAGGGGGCGAGCGUUGUCCGGAUUUAUUGGGCGUAAAGAGCUCGUAGGCGGCUCAGUAAGUCGGGUGUGAAACCUCCAGGCUCAACCUGGAGACGCCACCUGAUACUGCUGUGGCUUGAGUCCGGUAGGGGAGCGUGGAAUUCCUGGUGUAGCGGUGAAAUGCGCAGAUAUCAGGAGGAACACCAGCGGCGAAAGCGGCGCACUGGACCACUUCUGACGCUGAGGCGCGAAAGCUAGGGGAGCAAACAGG
rnacentral:rRNA from 1 species